AACGAACGCUGGCGGCAUGCCUAACACAUGCAAGUCGAACGAGAUCUUCGGAUCUAGUGGCGCACGGGUGCGUAACGCGUGGGAAUCUGCCCUUUGCUUCGGAAUAACAGUUAGAAAUGACUGCUAAUACCGGAUGAUGUCUUCGGACCAAAGAUUUAUCGGCAAAGGAUGAGCCCGCGUAGGAUUAGGUAGUUGGUGGGGUAAAGGCCUACCAAGGCGACGAUCCAUAGCUGGUCUGAGAGGAUGAUCAGCCACACUGGGACUGAGACACGGCCCAGACUCCUACGGGAGGCGGCAGUGGGGAAUUUUGGACAAUGGGCGAAAGACCUGACGGAGCAAUACCGCGUGAGGGAAGAAAGCCUACUGGGUUGUAAACCUC
rnacentral:rRNA from 1 species